AACGAACGCUGGCGGCAGGCCUAACACAUGCAAGUCGAGCGCUCACUUCGGUGGGAGCGGCGGACGGGUUAGUAACGCGUGGGAACGUGCCCUUCUCUACGGAAUAGCCAUUGGAAACGAUGAGUAAUACCGUAUACGCCCUUCGGGGAAAGAUUAUCGGAGAGGAUCGGCCCGCGUUAGAUUAGAUAGUUGGUGGGGUAACGGCCUACCAAGUCUACGAUCUAUAGCUGGUUUUAGAGGAUGAUCAGCAACACUGGGACUGAGACACGGCCCAGACUCCUACGGGAGGCAGCAGUGGGGAAUCUUAGACAAUGGGCGCAAGCCUGAUCUAGCCAUGCCGCGUGUGUGAUGAAGGCCCUAGGGUCGUAAAGCACUUUCGCCAGGGAUGAUAAUGACAGUACCUGGUAAAGAAACCCCCGGCUACUCCGUGCCAGCGCCGC
rnacentral:rRNA from 1 species